GGGUCGUUAGCUCAGUUGGUAGAGCAUCGGACUUUUAAUCCGCUGGUCGCUGGUUCGAGCCCAGCACGACCCACCA
rnacentral:tRNA from 2 species